GGUCAGGGCACACUCCCCCCACCAUUGCCCAGCUAGUUGGGACCUCAAUUGUCUGUCACCACAUAACCAAUAGAUGUCUCCGAUUGUCUUUGCAUGAUUCAUCAGCAGUGAUACAGGCAGGCUAUGGUAGGUUGAGCAAUAUCCAGAUGGGAAUUUGCCCAGAUACACACCAGUAUUCUUGGGUAUUGAAUAACAUGUGUAAUUACCUGGAUAUACUGUGACUCCAUCGGGUGGCCUGACAUAUCCAUGAGUGAUUGGGUAAAUUCUCUUCCAUGAUUCACAUGUUGAGGAAUUCGUGGUGGACUGUGCAUAGAGGCUUAAUACACAUAAUUCUACUUCAGAAGGUAAACUUAGAGGUACCGUACC